rnacentral:rRNA from 1 species
UACGUAGGAUCCAAGCGUUGUCCGGAUUUACUGGGUGUAAAGGGUGCGCAGGCGGAAUGGUAAGUCAGAGGUGAAAUCUCAUCGCUCAACGGUGAAACUGCCUUUGAUACUAUCAUUCUUGAGUCCGAUAGAGAUCUGUGGAAUUCCGAGUGUAGAGGUGAAAUUCGUAGAUAUUCGGAAGAACACCAGUGGCGAAGGCGACUUACUGGACACAUAUUGACGCUGAGGUGCGAAAGCGUGGGGAGCAAACAGG